UGGGGAAUUUUGCACAAUGGGGGAAACCCUGAUGCAGCGACGCCGCGUGAUUUAGAAGGCCUUCGGGUUGUAAAAAUCUUUUUUAUGGGAUGAAAAUGACAGUACCAUAAGAAUAAGGUCCGGCUAAAUACGUGCCAGCAGCCGCGGUAAUACGUAUGGACCGAGCGUUGUCCGGAAUCAUUGGGCGUAAAGGGUACGUAGGCGGCCCAGUAAGUUAGAAGUGAAAUAAUAUAGCUCAACUAUAUAAAGCUUUUAAAACUGCUAGGCUUGAGAGAUGGAAGGGAGAGUGGAAUUCCUAGUGUAGCGGUGAAAUGCGCAGAUAUUAGGAAGAAUACCGGUGGCGAAGGCGACUUUCUGGUCAUCAUCUGACGCUGAGGUACGAAAGCGUGGGUAGCAAACAGG
rnacentral:rRNA from 1 species